rnacentral:rRNA from 1 species
AGUGAACGCUGGCGGUAGGCCUAACACAUGCAAGUCGAACGGCAGCACAGUAAGAGCUUGCUCUUACGGGUGGCGAGUGGCGGACGGGUGAGGAAUACAUCGGAAUCUACUUUUUCGUGGGGGAUAACGUAGGGAAACUUACGCUAAUACCGCAUACGACCUACGGGUGAAAGCAGGGGAUCUUCGGACCUUGCGCGAUUGAAUGAGCCGAUGUGGGAUUAGCUAGUUGGCGGGGUAAAGGCCCACCAAGGCGACGAUCCGUUGCUGGUCUGGGAGGAUGAUCGGCGACACUGGAACUGAGACACGGUCCAGACUCCUACGGGAGGGAGCAGUGGGGAAUAUUGGACAAUGGGCGCAAGCCUGAUCCAGCCAUACCGCGUGGGUGAAGAAGGCGUUCGGGUUGUAAAGCCCUUUUGUUGGGAAAGAAACGCAGCAGGUUAAUACCCCGCCGUUCUGACGGUACCCAAAGAAUAAGCACCGGCUAACUUCGUG